AACAAAACACCAUCAAUUUGUUUGAUUCUUAUCAUUGUUGCUAAAUAGAAAUGAAAACUGCAUUGUUAGUGGCAGAAAAACCAUCCUUAGCCGCAUCAUUGGCAAGCAUUCUUAGUGAUGGAAAAUACUCAACGAGAAAAGGUUCUAAUAAUGCAUGUUCCAUUCAUGAAUGGUAUGGUCCAUUUUUAGGCGAGUUAAUACGUUUUAAAAUGACUUCGGUGUGCGGUCAUAUUAUGGGAUUGGAGUUCGCGGGUAAAUUUAACUCUUGGGACAAGGUAGAUCCUGCGGAAUUAUUUUCGUGUACUACGGAGAAAAAGGAAUCAUCUCCAAAUCUUCGAAUGUCAGCCUUUCUUAGCCAAGAAGCCAAAGGAUGUGAAUAUUUAAUUUUGUGGCUAGACUGUGAUAAAGAAGGCGAAAAUAUUUGCUUUGAAGUUAUGACAGCCGUCGCAGGUAGCAUUCGGAAUGUAUUUACGAAUCAAGUCACGUAUCGCGCCAAAUUCUCUGCUAUAACAGAAAAAGAUAUCAAAUAUGCAAUGAGAAAUCUCACUCGUCCUAACGAAAAUGAAGCUAAAUCGGUUGACGCUAGGCAAGAACUUGAUCUUAGAAUUGGAUGUGCCUUUACCCGAUUCCAGACCAAAUUCUUUCAAGGCAAAUAUGCCGAUUUGGAUGCAUCACUGAUAUCAUAUGGGCCAUGUCAAACACCAACCCUUGGAUUUUGCGUUCAACGUCAUGACGAAAUUCAAACGUUUAAACCGGAGAGUUAUUGGUUUAUUCAUGUAAUGCUUGGUGAUAAUCUUGAGGUAAAACUAGAUUGGUCGAGAGUAAGAAUAUUUGAAAAAGAAGUGGCCUGCAUGUUUUUGAAUAAAAUUAAAGAAAACCAGGAAGCAUUUGUGGACAGUAUUACUUCUAAGGAAAUAUAUCGCAGUCGACCACAAGCACUUAAUACGGUUGAGCUGAUGAGAGCUGCCAGUGCUAAACUAAAUAUUGGGCCACACUCCGCUAUGCAAAUUGCUGAAAAACUUUACACUCGAGGUUAUAUAAGUUAUCCACGCACGGAAACAACACAGUAUCCAACUAAUUUCGAUUUAGUUGAAGUUGUUAGGAUUCUUCAAACCUCAACUGACUUCGGCGCAGAGGCUUGCGAGAUUCUUCAUGAUAUGAAUACUCCAAGAAAUGGAAUCGACGUUGGUGAUCAUCCGCCAAUCACACCAAUGAAAUUAGCUUCUGGUAAUGAAUUAGAAGGUGAUACCUGGCGAUUGUAUAAUUAUAUUUGCCGACAUUUUCUUGGAACAGUUUCUCGUGAUCUUAAGUAUCGUUCAACAAUUACUAAAUUCACGAUAGGUGAUGAAUAUUUCACUAAUACAUCAACUGUUUUAAUGGAACCUGGUUUCACAAAAGUAAUGACAUGGUUUGCGUUCCAAAAAAAUGAAAUAAUAACUCUCUUUUCGGCAAAUGAAAAAGUUAAAAUUAAGGAGGUACGACUUGUUGAAAGCCAAACUAGUCCGCCUGACUAUUUGACAGAGUCCGAGCUAAUCUCUCUUAUGGAAAAGCAUGGAAUUGGUACAGAUGCAUCUAUUCCUGUUCACAUAAACAAUAUCUGUCAGAGAAACUAUGUAACUAUUGGCGGAAACCGCACAUUAACUCCGACUAAUCUUGGAAUUGUGUUGGUCCAUGGAUAUCAGAAGAUUGAUCCAGAGCUCGUUCUUCCAUCGAUGCGAUCUGCAGUAGAACAACAGUUAAAUUUGAUAGCUCACGGAUCAGCUGAUUAUUCUUCAGUAUUAAAACAUGCUGUCGAAAUAUUUCGGCUUAAAUUUCUUUAUUUUGUUCGAAACAUUGGUAGCAUGGAUAUUUUAUUUGAAGCCUCCUUUUCUUCAUUAAGCUCUGCUGGAAAAUCUCUUUCUCGUUGCGGUAAAUGUCGACGUUAUAUGAAAUACAUACAAUCAAAACCUUCGCGGCUACAUUGUUCGCAGUGUGAUGAGACAUACGCAAUGCCGAUGAAAGGAACAGUACGUGUAUAUAGAGAACUUAAAUGUCCUUUGGAUGACUUUGAGUUAUUAGCUUGGUCUAACGGAGCUAAAAGCAAAUCGUUUCCUUUAUGUCCGUACUGCUAUAACUAUCCACCUUUCAGAGAUAUGGCCAAAAAUUCAGGUUGCAAUAUUUGUCCGCACCCGACAUGUGUACAUUCGUACAUGAAUUUAGGCGUAUCUAGUUGCAUAGAAUGCGAUCAAGGUAUACUAGUGAUGGACUGUACCAUGUCUCCAAAAAAUUGGAAACUAGUUUGUAAUUUUUGCGAUGUCAUUAUUAAUUGUUUUGACGAUGCCGUCAAAAUAAAUGUUGAAUCCGAUUCUUGUCCAGAGUGUGGUGCGCAGCUUGUCACAGUUAUAUACAAAUCCGAAAAAACGCCGUUUAAGAAUAAUAUAACUGAAAUGAAAGGGUGUAUAUUUUGUCUCAUAGAGUUUGUUCCGAUGAUUGAAAAACAUAAGGCUGUUGAAUUACGACGGAAUCAAGUUAUGCGGUAUCGUGGUCGCAGUGUUCGAGGCCGAGGAAGCAAAGGUAGCAGAGGUCGAUACAAACCACCUAAAGAUAAAAUGGCACAACUAGCGGCUUAUUUUGUUUAGAUAUAGAAUUGUAAACAUACAUGCACAAGCUUAUAUAGAGGAACUCGCUGCAGAUUAAAAACCAAAACUAAUCACAACCAUCAGGGCCAAACAGCGGAAAGUCCUCUAGCGCCGAACAGCAUCCAACACCGAACACUACUGAUUCUUAUGGUCCGAACGGUGCAUCUCAAUAACGUAUUUAAUAAAAGGAAUAAUAAACAAGAAAGAAUUAACAUGUA